rnacentral:rRNA from 1 species
GACGAACGCUGGCGGCGUGCUUAACACAUGCAAGUCGAACGGAAAGGCCCCUUUGGGGGUACUCGAGUGGCGAACGGGUGAGUAACACGUGAGUAACCUGCCCUUGACUUCGGGAUAACUUCAGGAAACUGGGGCUAAUACCGGAUAGGAAUCCUUGCUGCAUGGUGGGGGUUGGAAAGCUUCGGCGGUUUUGGAUGGACUCACGGCUUAUCAGCUUGUUGGUGGGGUAGUGGCUUACCAAGGCUUUGACGGGUAGCCGGCCUGAGAGGGCGACCGGCCACAUUGGGACUGAGAUACGGCCCAGACUCCUACGGGAGGCAGCAGUGGGGAAUAUUGCACAAUGGGCGGAAGCCUGAUGCAGCAACGCCGCGGGCGGGAUGACGGCCUUCGGGUUGGAAACCGCUUUCAGCAGGGGCGAAGCUUGUGGUGACGGUACCUGCAGAAGAAGCACCGGCUAACUACGUG